ensembl:misc_RNA Metazoa_SRP Metazoan signal recognition particle RNA
GCCAGGUAUGGUGGCUCAUGCCUGUAAUCCCAGCACUCUGGGAGGCUGAGGCGGGUGGAUCACUUGAGGUCAGGAGUUCUAGACCAGCCUGGCCAACACGGUGAAACCCUGUCUCUA